GGAUGGAUCCAGUGAGAUUUCCAAUACUUUUGAGGGCAUGUGGGAUUUGACACCGAUACUGAUCUAUUAAUGGAGCUGCCAGAAGAAUACACUUUUGAAAUUGCUCUUGCAGAUUUGAUUGAUAAUUCCUUGCAAGCCAUAUGGACCAAUCGUGAAAAUGAUAGGAGAUUAUUAGGUAUGACAUUUGUAUGAUGACCAUAUUUUUGCUUUGCUGCCUAUUACAUUUACUUUUAUGUGUUUGUUUUGUAGAUGCUUGAUUUUCAUGCUAUUUACUUCAUAUUUCUAUUUUUCCAAUUCUUUACAACGUUGAACUUCAAAUCUAUUAUCAUCAAACUGGCUCAAUGGACGUGCAAAUUAAUUAGUUCAUAUGUGAAUUGAUGAACUCCAUUAUUUUUCAGAAUUCUUUUGUUUAUUGUUCACUUCAUUGUAAACAGAGAUAGUAAGGUUUGACUUCGAAAUAGAUAAAUAUAUAUAAACUAGCUUUCUUUAGAAAAAAAAUUAUCACGUAUCAUAACAUAAAACUUUUUAUGAAAAGAAUAAUACAAAUGAGAGCAAGAAAAAAAAUCAUCAUUCUAUUUUUUAACUUCUCUACUACUUUUACUAACCAAAGCAAAGUAACCUUUUUUUUUUUUUUUUUUUUCCAUUGUUUGGUUUUCAUUACUUUUAUUUACAAAAUAACUUUGAUCAGUUGUGAUAUCAUUCUCAUCAUGAUAUUAAUUCUAUCAGUUCCCUAUACCUUUCCCUAGAUUAAAUGUGCUUUCCACUUAUUCCACCAAGAAAGGACGGAACUUGAUAUCCUAUUGUUUUAGUCUAAGUGAUGUCCUCAGUUUUCAACUAAUUGGACAAAGUUGAUAUUGUCAGACAAUUUUAUCAUGCUGUAGUAUUCUCUCCUCUUAUUGUGUUUACAUUAUGUUUUUUUCUAAACUUUUUCCAUUUAUAGUUUAUAUGAAACCUGUUUUUUCAAAAGUAUUAGCAAAUGAUCUCAUAUCUAAAAAAUUUGCUUAAAGCCCUAUUGCUCUCCGUAGUAGAAACAAUUUUAAGCAUACUUUAUUGGUGUUAAAUUGCAUAUAUCAAUUGCUGAGGAGCCUUCAAGAAGGGCUGGUGUGGAUGUUUUUGCUGAAAUGGGAGUUGAAGUUACAAUGGAGGACUUUGUCCCUUUCAUGGGAACUGGCGAGGCAAACUUCUGAGGGGAUGUAGCUUCUGUUAAAGGAGUGAAGGGAUUUGAUCCUGAGGCAGCCAAAAAGAGGUUCUUUGAGAUAUAUCUGGAGAAGUAUGCAAAACCAAAUUCAGGAAUAGGAUUUCCAGGAGCCCUUGUACUGAUUAAUCAGUUUGCAGACCAUGAUGGAACAUGAUCCGAAGUCCUUCUUCAACAUCCACUAGCUGUCAUUUGUGCGAAGGAUGGUCAAAUUUAUAUUGCAGAUAGCUCCAACCACAAGAUCAAGAAGCUGGAUCCAGCUAGUAAAAGGGUCAGUACCCUAGCAGGGACUGGGAAAGCUGGUUUCAAGGAUGGAACAACCCUAGCAGCUCAGGUU